UGGACCGACCCUUCGGGGAGCUUGUACAGGUGCUGCAUGGCUGUCGUCAGCUCGUGUCGUGAGAUGUUCGGUUAAGUCCGCUAACGAGCGCAACCCUCGCUGUGUGUUACAAGUGUCACACGGAACUGCCGGGUCAUAAACCGGAGGAAGGUGGGGAUGACGUCAAGUCAGCAUGGCCUUUAUAUCCUGGGCUACACACACGCUACAAUGGGAAAGGACAAUAGGUAGCGAAACCGCGAGGUGGAGCCAAUCCAGCAAAAUUUCCCUCAGUUCAGAUUGCAGGCUGCAACUCGCCUGCAUGAAGUUGGAGUUGCUAGUAAACGCAGGUCAGCCAUACUGCGUUGAAUACGUUCCCGGGUCUU
rnacentral:rRNA from 1 species